UACAGAGACGGCAAGCGUUGCUCGGAUUCAUUGGGCGUAAAGGGUCCGCAGGCGGUCGGGUAAGUCGGAUGUGAAAUCCCGUGGCUUAACCACGGAAAGUCAUUCGAAACUGCUCGGCUUGAGGGUUGGAGAGGAGACUGGAAUUGUCGGUGUAGCGGUGAAAUGCGUAGAGAUCGACAAGAACACCGGUGGCGAAGGCGAGUCUCUGGACAACUCCUGACGCUCAUGGACGAAAGCCAGGGGAGCAAACGGG
rnacentral:rRNA from 1 species